rnacentral:piRNA from 1 species
UGCAGAAAGAGCUCACACAGUCUAAACUGC